rnacentral:lncRNA from 1 species
CUUCAGAGGUGUGAACAACCCCAGGCCACAUGGCUUCCAAACCCAAGCCCUCAGACUCUGCUGUAGGCUGCUCAGAGGCAAAUGGGGCCUCCUGGGGGCCUAACCCCUGCACACGCCCACGGUGUGAGGUAGGGCAAUGACAUGACCUCUCUGAGCUGCGCUUGUCUCCUGGCUCAGGCCUUAUGGGGUCUUUAAAGGAUUCAACGAGCAGAAGUGUGCAAAGCUGGGUUCAAGGAGUCCCUUAGUGCCGUUACCGUCCUGCUGUGGCCCAGCCCUCACCCACUUGCCUUCUUCCUCCAGCUCCACCCUGAAUGAAGCCAACACCUCCUCUACCAUCUCCUGUGACAGUCCUCUCGACCCCCAGGAAGAACCAGAGCCAGAACCCCUGCCCCAGCCCCAGGGGGACUCCCAGAUGGAGCUGGAGCCACCAAUGAUGCAGGCUGCCCUGGGCCUCGGGCCGAAGCAGAGGACAGCUUUCUGUAGGGGCUGGCCCCCACUCUGUGCCACCAGAAGCUCCCCUUCUGCCACCAGGCCACAGCCCCCGGGCCUGGCAUCCUGUGAGCCGUGCUGCUCCUGCCAGCUGUCCCAUGUGGAAGGCUUCUGUCCCUGCCACACUGCUCCCCAAGCCCUGGGGCUGGCUCAGGAGGCCAGAGAACUGCAGGACCAUGCCCAGCCUCUGCCUCAGGGAGGCCAUGUGACUGAGCCAAGGUCCUUCCCAGGGGACCCAGUUUCCCAGUGCACAAGAUGAGACAUUGAACUUGGUAGUUCACAGUCCACCUGGGAGUCUCCCUGGCUGACAAGGCUGGAAUCUGGGGGAGUUUCCUGGGGGAGUGAGGGGGUCAGUAACCUCUCUCUGUUCAGCCAGCUACCCCUCAAGGAGUCGCAGGCUUGUCCCCACACUUCCAUCUGCCCAGGAGCUGGGGAAGAAACCCUGGCACCCCUGGCUCCUGGCUGAGCUGGGCUUGCUCUGGCCAGUGUUGCUUCGCUCUGAAGCCACCUCCCCUGACACUAGUCUCUGCUUUCCCAGGACUGAGCAGGUCUGGGCCAGCCAUGCUUAAUUAGUGCUGUAAUUAUUGCUGGGACUGAACCAAGUACAGUACUUCCCGGCCUGCAGACCCAGCCCGUAUCACGAGGUGGCCAGCACCUCACCAUGGUAAUUUUCUUGCUCAUGAGGGGAUAAGCUACCUGAGAAAAUAGAGUCUAAAAUAGUUAGUGAAGAAAUUAGAGGAAGUGUCCUUUGGUAUAGUCUGAGGAAAGGGAUAGCUGGGUCAAAUGGUGGUUCCAUUCCCAGAUUUCCAAGGAAUCUCCAUACUGCUUUCCAAAUUGGCUGCACCAAUUUGCAGUCCCACCAGCAAUGAGUGAGUGUACCUUUCCCCCCACAUCCUCUCCAACACUUAUUGAUGUUUGUCUUCAUAAUAGCUGCCAUUCUGACUGGAGUGAGAUGAAAUCUUAGAGUAGUUUUGAUUUGUAUUUCUCUAAUUGCUAGAGAUGAUGAACAUUUUUUCAUAUAUUUGUUGAUUGAUUGUAUAUCCUCUUCUGAGAGGUGUCUGUUCAGGUCCUUGACCCAUUUGAUGAUUAGGUUAUUUGUAUUUUUGGUGUUUAGCUUUUUGAGUUCUUUAUAUACCCUAGAGAUUAGUGCUCUAUCUGAUGUGUGAGGGAUAAAAAUUUGCUCCCAGGAUGUAGGCUCUCUGUUCACCCCACAGAUUGUUUCUUUUGCUGAGAAGAAACUUUUUAGUUUGAUUCCAUUUCUCUCCUUGGACUACACCCAAAGGACUUAAAAACAGCAUACUACAGGGACACAGCCACAUCAAUGUUUAUAGCAGCACAAUUCACAAUAGCUAAACUGUGGAGGCAAUUUAGAUGUCCUUCAGUGGAUGAAUGGAUAAAAAAAUGUGGCAUAUAUACACAAUGAAAUAUUACUCAGCAUUAAAAAAGAACAAAAUCAUGGUAAAUGAAUGGCAUUGGAGAAGAUAAUGCUAAGAUAAGCUAGCCAAUCCCCCCAAAAACAAAUGCCAAAUGUUUUCUCUGAUAUAAGGAGGCUGACUCAUAGUGGGGUAGAGAGGGAGAGCAUGGGAGGAUUAGAUGAAUUCUAGAUAGGGAAAAAGGGUGGGAGGGAAAGGGAGGGGGCAGGAGAAUAGCAAGGAUGGUAGAAUGUGAUGGACAUCAUUAUACCAAGUACAUGUAUGAAGACUUGAAUUGGGUGUCAACUUACUUUACAUUCCAACAGAGAUAUGGAUAUGAAAAAUUGUGGUAUAUAUGUAUAUUAAGAAUUGUCAUGCAAAAAAACACACGGUAUAUGUAUAACGGCAUGUAUUGACGUGAACAUGCUUUAUAUACAGAGAUAUGAAAAAAUAUACUCUGUAUGUGUAAUAAGAAUUGUAAUGCAUUCCACUGCUGUUGUGUAUUUUAAAAAAUUGAUAAAAGAUUAAAAAAUAAAUUAAUUAAUUAAGAGGCAGUGUCAAAGAAUAGUUUUUAAGAGCUUAAUAGGAUCUUCCAGUCCUGGUUGGAGCUGGAACAGAACAAUUAGAAAAUUCCUCUAAUGGUUUAUUUAAGGGGGUACAUUAAAGGCAUGGACAGGGUUUCAGGGGUAGAGUCUUGCUUCAUGAUGUCUUGCAGUCACAGGUUGAUUGGCAUCUUGGCCUCUCCAUCUCUGAGAGGCUGUGUGGCAACCAGGUCACCCCUUCUCCAGGCUGUGUGGGACCAGGCAGAGCUGAAUAGGAUUCAUAUGUGUCUGGAAGAUCUUACCAGCAGGGUUGCCACUGAAACUCCCCAAUACCGGAUUCUCCUAUUCAGUGGACUUCCUUGCUGAUUUCGUUCAUAUAUAGUCCAUGGAUGGCUCUCAACAAGCCCAGGACACUCGGGGCACACUGGCUGUGGACAGGACCCAUGUCUUCCAGGCCCCUUUGGUUCUGAGGCUUUUCCUCUUCAUCCUCAAGUUACAGGCCCAGCGGAUCCUGCAUCUGUGACAAAUGUGUUGAUGUGCCAGCAUUAUGUCCACAUGUGAGCACCAGUAGGUGGCCCUGACUCUGCAUUGGACUUGCUGUGACCUUGGAGGAAUCCCUUGCCCUCUCUGGGCCCGUUUUCCCCUUUGAAGAAUAAAUAAGUUGGA